AAGGUCCCAGAGGUGUGAGGCAACAGUGCUAACCACUAUCUCUACGCCACACACACCCAAACAUAGUGAGAUUGUCUGGAUGUGCUUGUGGGGAAAACAGUAAUGUACACUGGGCAUUGUUGUUACUGGGGACAAAAGGGAAGCUGUAGAGCGUACAGCUCAGGGUUAGGAGUAGAAGGAAUUUGGCAGAAAAGAUAAGGAAGGAGAACUGCAGAGAACAGCAGCUGCAGUACAGAUAACCUUAUAGGCCGUUCUUGUGAAUUAAAUGCAAUUAAAUAACCGCCAAACUGAGCAGGUGCGUGCGCUCGAAAGGGGGCAGGAUUUCCGCACAGGACUCUUCCCAGUCAGGAAUUCCGCGUGGACUCAAGUAGUAGCACGAGUUCAGCCUAUGGUUUCGGUAACAGCCUCAAGGCAUGAUAAAAUGAACGUGAUUGAUGUUGUUUGCCUUUGUAGUUGUUUUCGCUUCACGACGGAAGCUAUUCGGGUGGUAAACGGGCCGGUAUCCGUCACUGAAGGGGGCAGCGCUAAUUUAUCCUGCAGACUGACUGAGACUGAUGAAGAUCUGGAGCAGGUAACAUGGCAAAAAAGGACGCGAGGAAUUCCUGACAAUCACAACUUCUUGGUCAUCUUACCCCCCCGGGAUGUAAGAAAUGUCAACGGAUUAGGGAAUCGGGCCCGAUUUAUUGGGAAUUUAACUAUGAAAACUGGAUCAAUUCAGAUUUUGAAUGUAUCGCUGCAUGAUGAAGGCGUGUAUACCUGCAUCUUCACGGUGUUUCCAAGCGGGCCGCACCAGACAGAAACUCGGCUGACAGUUCAUGUUCGUCCUGUAGUGACAGUAACACCUGCGGCGCCCCUGGUGGUCGGAGGAGAGAGUGGCAUCUUAGCGACCUGCAUUGCUGCCAAUGGACACCCAGCAGCAGGGGUGUCAUGGCGCACAGACCAGCUGGAUGGCCCGACUGAGAUCCAGAAUAACGCGACACAGAACCCCAACGGCACCACAACCGUCAGGAGCUACCUGCUGGUGACCCCCACCAGGUCCAUGAAUGGCCGAGAGGUGCAGUGUGUGGUGAAUCAUACAGCCCUGGAGCAUGAGGAGAUUGUGCCGUACAGGAUCUCACUGCACUGUGAGUACUGCUGGGAGGCCAAACCCACUGCAAGUCAGUCACUGUUUACAGUGGAAUGUACUUCAGACAUAGACAGUAAUCAUUUUACAAUAAAUUUACCGAGAGGGUGAGUCUUUGCUGCAUUUGCUGAAAAUUAUUGUUAAUAUUAUUCUUAUGUUCUUUUACUUAAAGCCACAAAUUCACACUGUAAGUCAAUAUUUCACUUAAUGUGUUUUAAUUGUCAGUUUCUGUGUGCCAAAGCCUUAUUAACAACAACAAAACACUGAAAUGAAGGUCAAGCUCAGUAAGAUACCAAACUUGUGAACUUACCACUCAUAGGAUAGCUUUUAAAAAAAAAAAAAAAAAACUUUUACUUUCUUAAAACAAAACAGCAACCACAAAAAAUGAUCGUGUUGGCCCAAGUAUAAGACGGGUAUUUUUUUCUCAGAAUAUGUAUGAAAAAGUGAGGUCGUCUUGUAUUUGGAGUCUUUACAAAAAAGGGAAUAGUGUGAAAUAAGAUAUGUUGCAACGAAUAUUUUGACUUCCUGUAAUAUAGAUUUCCUGUAAGAUUUCGUGUGUAGUGUCAGAGCAGAAGUGUGAAACCUGACAACCUUGGCACUGCGUGUGUUUAGUGUGUAUCCCUGAGUGUCAAGCUGCUGCUAGUAUUAAGACGAUAGUGGCUGUUAAUAAAGACAGCAAAUCCAUUUAGAGAGAGCUGUCACAUCAUUUAUUAAUAUGGCUCAACCUUCCUCUGCAGGACAUUUUUUACCCUCGUCAUGUGGGUCUGCUGUAUCGAUGUUACCCGAGGCUACUAUGGAGGCCUGAUUGCAGCUAUUUUGGUCUCAUUUUCUGCACUUAUUCUCUUGAGCUUCUACACAUGGAAGACAGUGUUACAGCGGAGGAAUCCAAGAAGAUCAAGGUCACACCAGGUACACAUGAGCUAAAUGUUAUAACCAGCUUUAAUUUGCUACUGAUGUGAGACUCCUUCACAGAAACAGUCUCAAUUUAAAAUCAUGGAGGACGUGAACAUGCAGGAACAACAACAGGAAGAAGAAGAACAAGAAGAGGAAUCACAAGAACAAGAAUCACAGUUUAAUCCUCUUCCUCAGCAAUCACAGUUACAUCCUUCCCCUCAACGUGCCCGGGCCCGGAUUUUAACUCGAACGUAGUCAUUCUAGCCACUUCGCCUUCCCCUCAUAGUUCUUUUGUUUCUGCUUGGUUGUGUUUGUGUUUGUAUAAAAAUCCUUAGGUUCACUCAUUGGCUGUGUCCGUUUGGUCCCUCCAUCCCACUUCCACGACAACAAAGCAACCUUACCUUUGGGUCUGGCUUCAGAGCCUCCAUUUGUCCAGAGGAUUGUAAUAUAGUAUGGUAUUUGAUGUUCCUGCUAGAUAGAUAGAUAGAUAGAUAGAUAGAUAGAUAGAUAGAUAGAUAGAUAGAUAAAUGAGAUGUUUAGAGCCUCAUGGCAGCAAGACAUAUGUUUGAAAACAUUAUAUAAAAUGAUGUAGGAACUGGAGACACAGGCUCCUCUAGCCUGGGAACUGGAGACGUGAGUUUCUCUGGAUCGAGAACAAGCUCUUCUGGAUUGGGAACUGGAUUUUUGGUCCUCUUCUGUCUCCAGGUCUUCUCAUGAGUAGAGGACGUGACCUUCUUGGAAGGCAAUGUCCCUUCCUCAGGGAUGCCUUACUCAGCUGCUGCAUAUCAAGCAGGGCGUCCUUGAUCGCAACCACCUUCUGGGGGUCCGACGAGUCCCAUCAGACUCUCCCCAAUCUGCUGGAGCAGAGAGACAUUUGCAGGGAAACCUGCAAACGGUGUUGCAGACUGGCCAUCCAGGACCGAAGUUAGCGAACCCUGUUCUGAGGACACAAGGGACCCUUGUAUACAUGGAACUUCAAGGAAACAACAUUACAUAGCUUGGGUGUUAAUGAUCCAGUGUAUGUAAAAAUCAGGUCACAUAUAACCGUAACUGUAUAAAGUUUUAGUGAAUAACUCUUCCCUGAAUAUCAAGAACAGUUUGUAAACAAAUUGACCUUUUUCUGUCGUUAUAAAAUAAUUUUAUCACUGGUU